UACGGAGGGUGCGAGCGUUGUCCGGAAUUACUGGGCGUAAAGGGCUCGUAGGCGGCCAACUAAGUCAUACGUGAAAUCCCUCGGCUUAACCGGGGAGCUGCGUCUGAUACUGGAUGGCUUGAGUUCGGGAGAGGGAUGCGGAAUUCCAGGUGUAGCGGUGAAAUGCGUAGAUAUCUGGAGGAACACCGGUGGCGAAGGCGGCAUCCUGGACCGAUACUGACGCUGAGGAGCGAAAGCCAGGGGAGCAAACGGG
rnacentral:rRNA from 1 species